CACAUUCUCGAACUCCCAUUGUCUCCAUUGUACGUCCAGCCCCUGCAAUUUACGCUCAAAUUUCUAUUUUAUAAUAGGAUCGUUUUUGCAGAAAACAUCAUACGAGUUAUAUUCGCGGGUAAACAAUAUAGGCUACGAUAUUCGUCUGAAAACCAUAUCCCGUUUAGCACUGCAAAAAUACAGAAUACAGCGGCACGACGCAGACGACACUCGUGCUCAGUUGCAGACGACACAUUUCGUUCUUCAGGUGCCGCGGCUCGUGACAAGCACUACUCACGUCCCUCCCACCCAACUUCUUUACUCCUGUACCAUCCAAGUCUACUUAUGUGGACUGCUCAUCACUACGGACACUGCCCAUCACUAACACAUCACUACACCUGCAGCAUGGUGAUAGCAAGAAACUAAAAAGUCGCAAGGAAGCCCUGAGAAUAAGCUAUUUUCUAGAGAAAAACAUUUGCUUCUUCAUGGUACUUCCAUUAUUUUAUCAUGAUGUUCUUGGGCAUUGAUAAACUGCAUGAAACAAAAGACCAAGUACCCUGCAUAAUUGGGUAUAUAAAUAGAGUAGAAAGUACCAUACUCACCUCAUGAGAGCUCAGUGAUGUGCACUGUAGACAUUGCUCCGCGUGUCUGAGAUACGCCUUCCCCACAAAC